CUAAGUCCAUUGCCAGAUAUCAAGUUUCGGGCAGCCAAAGGGGCUCAGGCAAGGGGCUGGGCUCUGUUUCCCAUAGGAACUUUCAGUGCACAGAGGCCAGCCAAUUCCACUCCUGUACCCCAGGAGGGUGCCGUGAAUCGGCGCAGCGGCUGCCACAUGCGCGAGCAGGUCAAGGCACAGCAAGGACUUUCCAAGCGGGGGCAGCGGGCUCUUCCCCGCCCUGCGCCAGGGGAGCAGGAUGCCACUGUGAGAGCCCAAAUCCAAACCUGACCCGGAGGCACAGUCUCGCAGGCUCUUGCUCCCUGUGCCCAGUGGCAGUUUGAGUCCUGAACACUCCCCGGACUCUCCCCGGGGGCCAUCUGGGGCUGCCGGGGUUGGCUGCAGAUGGAAGACGGCCUGCAUCCCUGAAGUUUGAUCAUUUCCAAUGUCAAUAACUACAAUGGUUCUCCCACACCUGGAGGCUAAUGAGUAAUGAGCGCCACUAAGGCCUAUUUCAAAUGUACUAAAUUGUUCAGAAGGUUGUUUUCUUAGUGGAAUGCUACAGGAUUUUCUUUAGCCAGCAUUGCCGGAGUUCCUGCCUUCGUCCCAGUGCUGGUGAAAACGAGGGUGGAAGAAUUUCCAGUGAUGCUGAGAACCAGUGGAGACUUCGGAUCAAGCUAGCUGCCUGCAGAACUUACCUGGACUGUAAUUUAAGCUAGCUGCCUGCAGAACUUACCUGGACUAUGAUUUACCUGGACUGUGAGUUAAUCUAUUGAGACACUGCUUUACCUGCACUGAGACAACAAACUGUAAUCUACAACAAAUUGUAACUCGGUAUCUUUGCUAACUGUGUCAUUGCUGGUAUAAUUUUUCCAAGGGCUUCUUGCAUGGAGCCAUCAAUUGGCUUGGUAUUGUGGCAUGCUGUAUCCUCCCCUUCUGCUUGUAGCAAAUUAUUUAUGGUGUUUGUGUAAAAACCACUAUGGUUGUUAUUUAAUUAAACAAAAGGGGGAAAUGUUAGGGUCUGUAAAGAA